rnacentral:tRNA from 1 species
UCCCAGGUAGCUCAGUGGGUAAAGAGUCCUCCUGCAACACAGGAGACCCAGGUUCGAUCCCUGGUUUGGGAA